rnacentral:RNase_P_RNA from 1 species
GAAAGCAGGCGAGGUGAUCACGAUCGGUGCGGCAUCGCCUUCGGGUGGCGCCGCGGCCGUUUGAGGAAAGUCCGGGCUCCCCAAUGGCCAGGCCUGCUGGGUAACGCCCAGUGCGGGUGACCGUGAGGACAGUGCCACAGAAACACACCGCCGAUGGCUCGCGGGGGAGGUUCGCCUUGCCCGGCGCACAGGCAAGGGUGCAAGGGUGCGGUAAGAGCGCACCAGCGGCAUCGUGAGGUGCCGGCUCGGUAAACCCCGGCUGGGAGCAAGGCCCAGGGACAACGGUUGGCCAUCUUCCCCGUCCCGAUUUCCAUGCGCCGCUCGAGUCCGCCGGUAACGGCGGUCCCAGACAGAUGAUCACCCCUCCUGCCAUCGACGGUACCCAGGGUGCCUUUGAUGGCAGGGGAGAACAGAACCCGGCUUACGUCCUGCUUUCCCCC